rnacentral:lncRNA from 1 species
ACCGGGAUUAGACACAGCGCUAUUUUGGGGCUCGUCACAUUGGUCGUCAGAUUCAUAGCGCUGCUGGGCUGGGUCACGCUGCUAGGACUCACCACUCACUUGAUCGACACAAAUAAACACCAAGAAAGAGCCUUGAAACCGGGUUAUUUUAAAAAGUUUCAUAGUUCGUCUCGUCAUUAGCGUUUCUGCUUUGACAUACCUUUGGAAGUUUUCGAGUGUAAAUUCUUUGGUGUUUUCGAGACACACGACGCUUCUGAAACUUUUGCGUGCGUAAAGACGUUGGAAGACGAAAUGGGGGAGAAUGAUGUUCAAAUGGAGAGUACAGAGCAAAUGCAGGAGCCUCACGCUUCAAGCUCGGACAAAAUCGACUUGUCAUUAGAUGACAUUAUAAAGCUGAAUAAGAAGAAACAGAAGGCAAACAGAGCUGCCAACAGAGCUAAAACUAAACGUGCUGUUAACAGGAACAACGUCUUGAAGAAACUCAACCAGGUUCCACAGCAACAGAGGGGACUCAGACGAGGAGCGCAGCAGUACCAAGGGCCUGGCAGGGUGAGAGGUUUAAGGAGACAAAGAGGAUCCGGGAGGGUCAUGAUGUUGAGAAGGGAUUCACUAAAUGCCGCUGCUGCCGCUGCCACGACUGGUGAACAGUUUGAUCAGACCACAUUCACAUCGACGGGCACAUUCAGAGGACGGGGAAGAGGUAGAGGAGGCGGACUGAGCAGUAGGGGUGCAUUGUCAGCAAGAGGACAAAGGGGUGGAAGACCAUUUGUAUUAGACAGAGGGUUUUCCGCUACAAAAAGGGCUGAGAAACUACAAACGUAUCAGACAAUAAGAAGUCGAAGAACAGCAUCAUCUGGCUCCACGCUGACAGUUUCCCUGCCAAAUGCUAAAUCUGCCCCUGUCGCUGUGAAGACAUCUAAUCAGACUAGGAGGGGUGGGGCAGUGUUAAGGGGCAGAUCAUCUAGAGGAGCCGUUACUUCGUCAUCUAUGGGGAUUCCUCUGCAAUUUAACUACAAAGCAACUACUAACCAGACUGCCGUAUACCUUAAUGACCGUUUCACUGACCUGAGGUUAAGAGGGCAAGGACGAGGCCGGGGAAGAGGUGGUGGAAGAGGAAGAGGAGCUGUUGGAGGAGGUGGAAGAGGUGGAGGAAGAGGAAACAUUGUUGGGGGUGGACGAGGUAGAGGACAAGGAAACAUAGGUGGUGGAAGAGGCAGAGGAAGAGGAAACUUUAUGGGUGGUGGAAGAGGCAGAGGAAGAGGAAACUUUAUGGGGGAUGGCAGAGGAAGAGGAAACAUUGUGGGGGGUGGCAGAGGAAGAGGAGGGGUUGGUGUGGCAAGAGGAGGAAGAGGCUUGAGAAGAGGGAGUGGAGGAUCAAGAGGAGCCGAUCGAACAGUAACUCUUCAGUGAUUAGAAUUACAACCAAUUUUAUGAAGUAAUAGCGUUUACUGAAAAAUUCAUUAUUUUUGGUGCAUCACUAUUUGAUGUCAUUCAACUAAAUAUUUGUAACAUUUCUGACAGCGGGAUAAGGGGGUGUUAUUGCAGUGUACAAACAAAAAAAAGUCCUUUUUAAAAGAAAAUGUAAAUUAUUGAUUGUUAUAUGAAGGUUUUUACAUUUUUAGGUUAUGAAAAAAUAAAAUUUUAAAAAGUACCUCAGAGGGUAAUGAAGUGCCUCUUCAAAUUCAGUGUAAAUACUGUUUUGCAUUCUGACAUUAGAAGGUAAACUCAGUGAUAAAAACUGAAUCCUAUACUUAAAAAAAAAAAAAAAAAAGUAAAUAUAUCAAAAGUUGUUUACAUUUGAUAUCAUCAUAUCAAUAAACACCAAACAAUGGACAAUGUUUAUUUUUUGAAGAAUUAUUUUGUGAUGUCUGUCUGUUUA